rnacentral:rRNA from 1 species
UAGGGAAUCUUGCGCAAUGGGCGAAAGCCUGACGCAGCCAUGCCGCGUGAAUGAUGAAGGUCUUAGGAUUGUAAAAUUCUUUCACCGGGGAAGAUAAUGACGGUACCCGGAGAAGAAGCCCCGGCUAACUUCGUGCCAGCAGCCGCGGUAAUACGAAGGGGGCUAGCGUUGCUCGGAAUUACUGGGCGUAAAGGGCGCGUAGGCGGAUAUCUAAGUUGGGGGUGAAAGCCCGGGCUCACCUCGGAAUAGCCUUCAAUACUGGAUAUCUUGAGUUCGGGAGAGGUGAGUGGAAUGCCGAGUGUAGAGGUGAAAUUCGUAGAUAUUCGGCGGAACACCAGUGGCGAAGGCGACUCACUGGCCCGAUACUGACGCUGAGGCGCGAAAGCGUGGGGAGCAAACAGGAUUAGAUACCCUGGUAGUCCACGCCGUAAACGAUGAGUGCUAGUUGUCGGCAUGCAUGCAUGUCGGUGACGCAGCUAACGCAUUAAGCACUCCGCCUGGGGAGUACGGUCGCAAGAUUAAAACUCAAAUGAAUUGAC